GCAGCGGUUCUAGAAGCUAGGCCUUCUGGGUUCCAGCAUUCCCCACUCCCCCACGCAGAGAGGCACGUACGCAGUCCUCAGAGAGAUUUGCACCCGCGUCUGGGAAUCACGUGGCAAAGAAGGGUCCUCUGCACAGUCUGGCACCGCGAGGUGCUGGGCUUGUGCUUCUGCAAAGGUUCUGCGCAGUCCUCGGGUUCCUGGGGCUCACUACCCCCAGGUUCCCACGGCCAGCUCCACGUGGGGACCAGGUAUAUGAGUACACUGUAGGUGUACAGAUGGUUGCGAGCCAUCAUGUGGUUGCGGAAUUGAACUCAGGACCUCUGCUCACUCCUGCUUCUCUAGCUCUGGCCCAAAGAUUUAUUUAUUAUUAUAUUUAAGUACACUGUAGCUGUCUUAAGACGCACCAGAAGAAGGCAUCAGCGGUUGCCACCAUGCAGUUUCUGGGAUUUGAACUCAGAACCUUCAGAAGAAUAGUCAGUGCUCUUAACUGCUGAGCCAUCUC
rnacentral:lncRNA from 1 species